GCGCGAGUGGUGGAAUGGCAGACACGCUGGUCUUAGGAACCAGUGUCUUCGGACGUGCGGGUUCGAGUCCCGCCUCGCGCA
rnacentral:tRNA from 1 species